AGCUGAGAGAAGUCAACGGCGGAAGAAAGAGGAACUUUUGUUUCGGGAAAUAUCUGGGGAGUGGUUUCGGGGACGGACCACUUUCGGGCCCUAAUGGCGGCGGGGAAGGCCGGGAUCAUGGCGGCGCUGGAGGACGCGGAGUCUCUGCCCCGAGGAGGCUUUCGCUUCUGCCGCCGCCUCUGCCACGUGCCUAGCCCAGCCUGGAGGACCACCUGCGUGGGAAGAAACACCAGCGCCUGGAGCACCUCCGCACCGCCCGCCACGCCCAGGAGCAACGCAGUGUCUUUGUCAGGGGCUUCCGCAAGGGCACGCCGGCCUCGGAGCGGAGCGACUACUUCCAGGCCUACGGAGAGGUGGUCGACGUGGUGAUGGACAAAGAGAAGGACCACCACUGGGUGAUGAGGAGGCGGCCCCACAGUGCCCCCUGAGAUGUUUCGGAGGGGGUCUCCACUCAGACCGACAGCAGUUGCACUGCAAGGACGGAGAUCUGCCGCUUCUGCGCCCCAACAGGGAACGAAAUCUCCUUCCGAGGGACGCAUCGGUGCUUGAGAACGUAAGAAGAGCCCUGUGGAUGGGACCACGGUGUAGCUGGUCCAGCACCCUGUUUCCCACAGUGGUCAGCCAGGUGGCCCACUCAGGUAGAAGCUCACAAGCAGGACAGGAAGGUACCAAUCGCCCCAAAUUAUCAGGCAGUUGGAGACAGGGUGCUCCUGAAUUGGGAGGUUCUAUCUAUCCCAGCUAAUGUCUACAGAUAGCCCUCUCCUCCUCCUCCUCCUCCUCCUCCUCCUCCUCCUCCUCCUCCUCCUCCUCCAGGAAUGUGUCUGAUCCUUCCUUAAAGCCAGCUAACUUAUUUGGACGUCGCCACGGCUUGUGGCAGAGAGUUCCCUUGUCUGGAACCCUGGAGAGCCGGAGGAGAGAGUGCUGCAUGCAUCAAUGGUCUAAGGGAGCUUCCUGUUGGGGGAGGACUUAGAGCUCAGCGGCAGACCAGCUGCACUGCAUGCUGAACGACUUGGGGUUUAUGGGGCAGCCCCACACGUUUACUAUUACCUCCUGGCUCUCCUCACUUUCACAGCAGCCCUCCGGCAGGGGGACAGUUUUGCCAUUUAGUUGUGUAUUUAAAAAUAAAUCUAUUUAUCAAUGUGG